CUUGCUAAGUUUGAUGGCGACCGGCGCACGGGUGAGUAACACGUAUCCAACCUGCCGAUGACUCGGGGAUAGCCUUUCGAAAGAAAGAUUAAUACCCGAUGGCAUAGUUCUUCCGCAUGGUGGAACUAUUAAAGAAUUUCGGUCAUCGAUGGGGAUGCGUUCCAUUAGGUUGUUGGCGGGGUAACGGCCCACCAAGCCUUCGAUGGAUAGGGGUUCUGAGAGGAAGGUCCCCCACAUUGGAACUGAGACACGGUCCAAACUCCUACGGGAGGCAGCAG
rnacentral:rRNA from 1 species